UAUAACGAAAGUAAAAGUUAAUUCAAAUUUGUAUGGAGUUGGAACGUUUGCCGCUAGGGGCGCUGUUCUAACUGCAUACAAAUUUGAGUUAACUUUUACGCUAUCGA
rnacentral:pre_miRNA from 9 species